GCCUCGGUAGCCUAGCCCGGUGGGGCGUUACCUUGGUAAGGUAAUGGUCGCGGGUCCAAAUCCCGCCCGAGGCUCCA
rnacentral:tRNA from 1 species